rnacentral:rRNA from 1 species
UAGGGAAUCUUCGGCAAUGGACGAAAGUCUGACCGAGCAACGCCGCGUGAGUGAAGAAGGUUUUCGGAUCGUAAAACUCUGUCGGUAGAGAAGAACGUUGGUGAGAGUGGAAAGCUCAUCAAGUGACGGUAACUACCCAGAAAGGGACGGCUAACUACGUGCCAG